GUGAGCCGUUUCUCUAUGCCUCCUCCCCGUACGUCUUCUUUUCCUCGUCAAAGUGAGGGCGGUGGCAGGGCACUGCUGUGACGUAGGCACAUCUGGAGCGGUCAUUACACUCGCAGACGUGAGAUUAGAUAAGGCUGGACGAUGAGGUUAGCGCUUCUCCGGUCAGAUAAUUGUCAGAAUGACUACCAGGUUGUAGGUAGGUGUUAAAAUGGACUCCAAGGUCCUAGAGGGUGCUGGUUAAAAAAAGAGGGUCUCAAAGAUUUGGGGGGGGGGGAACGGACGGACGGACGACAACAACAACAAAAAAACACAUUUCCUGGUUGUUUUUUGAUCUAUCCCCUUCACUUUAGCCAUUCUGUAUUCAUCUGUAUUCACUUUAAGAAUAAUACCGCUUUAAUAUUGGUUUGUGGCUACGAGACAAGAAAAUCAAUCACACAAAUCAUGCUAGCUGCACAGAUCUAACUGCACUGGAAUUCAUCCCCAUUAGACAAUUCUUCCCUAGAAUCCACAGGCUGAAAUUCCACAGACCUGAAGCGGACGGAGGUUUAAUCCGCGCCUGAGUGACGACUGGAUAAAAAGAAUCCAAUUAUCUUUUUCACAGAGCAUCCCCCGGUCUUGUCUUUGGCAUCGCUUAUAUGGAGGAAACAUCAACGUCAAACGGACAUGGAGUUCGUCAAAAUCAGCUCAUGCAGUUUGGCUUGGAACACGUCACUCUUCCUCUUUCAGUAAUUCAAUUCGAUGAAACUUUUACUACCAUGGAAUAUACCACACACUAGGGUUACUGCAUCUGAUGGAGAGACACAGAGAGCUAGCCGAGCCGUUCCAACCGUCUUUGAAGCACCGCGCCGGUCACGUGGUAAAAUGUCCGACAGAAUCACGGUCAGUGGAAGAACGACACUUGUGCUGACUAGCAUCUGGGUGAGUUCUCAUGGAGGAAAUACUGUAUACCGGGCCAGAAAACUUCAAACAAACGCUAAAGACCUACCUCUUCAUUGAGUACUUGAUACUUAUAUUUAGAAAAUAAUAACCCCUUAUCAUGUGUGUUUUCAUUCGUAUUCACACUUUGCGGUUGUGGUAGAGAGGGUCGUCCACUAAUCGUAGGGUCGGCGGUUCGAUUCCCGGCCCGCGUGACUCCACAUACCGAAGUGUCCUUGGGUAAGACACCGAACCCCGAGUUGCUCCCGAUGGUAAGUUAGCGCCUUGCAGCUCUGCAGCCAUUGGUGUGUGUGUGUGUGUGUGUGUGUGAAUGGGCGAAUGAGAAAAAGAGCUAUAUAAGUGCAGACCAUUUACCAUAUUGAUUCACCUCCUCUAAUAGGGUUCUAGCUUGAUGUUAUUCUUAGUCCCUGGCCUAGUGAACUAGCAUGGGGACAUGUUUUUGUUUUUUUUUUUUAAAUGCAGACUAUAAAGUACUUAC
ensembl:lncRNA